CCUACAUACUAUACAUUACGUGCACAAACAUGUUUUAUUCUUGUUUUGCUGACACCAUGAUACUCAGCAUGCAUUUCCUGCCUAACCACAAUACUAUUUCCAUACCUAAGGGCAUUAAACAACUCCCUAUCACCUUCAAACUCCUAGCUAAAAAACUAUCAAUCCCAUAUCAAGUCAGGGUUCUCUCUUUGCACUAAUUGUUAUAUCUCUUUAGAUUAUUUUAAUCUAAAAGAUUUCCCUCACCUGAAGAAAGCUAGCUAGUUAUAUUAUAGAAUGUCUUGUAUUUUGGGCUUAGUUCAUUGUUUCCUUGUGUCAUGUAACUUUCUUUCCUAUCUUGGUUCAGUUAUCAAUAGAUUGAAAGAUUCCCUUUCUCCAGAUUUAAAAAGAAAGGAACAAAGACAGAAGAGGUUGGAGGCAGAAAGAAGGUAAGCGACCUACUGUUUCAUCCUUCAGUCCGCUGAACAUGUAAUCUUUUGGAUCAACCUGCAGGGACAAAGCACAAGACCUUGAGUAUUGUUAACAUUAUUCACCAAAAACAAACAGGGAUUCUCUGUGGAUCUGCUCUUUCUGCUAUCAAAUUUCAUGCCUGGGCAUGCAAAGCUAAAAGAAAGCCUGUGUGACUCUAAGAUUUGGGUCUUCCUGCGAGUUAACCCAGAACCUUCAUCCAGCAACUGAUGGAAGAUGCAGAGAUCCACGGUGAAGCACUGGGC